rnacentral:lncRNA from 1 species
AGCAAGCAAGACACUGGUGAAGGAAACUUAUACCAUUUAGCUGCUAACAUAAGGUAGUGGGGUUGAGAUACCCAUUUUCUAGUUCUAUCACCCGAUUUGAUCAGGUUUAUCCGAGAGAGAGAGAGAGAGAGAGAGAGAGAGANGUAGUUACGGAAGAGAGAGAGAGAGAGAGAGAGAGGAGAAUGCUCUUCUAAUUAAGCCAGUCAACAGUAAAAUAGUUUGAGCAUGUGUGAUAAAAGAGCAUGUAUACGAAAAUUGAAAGACUAACAAAUAUAAAUAUAAUAAAUAAAU